CUGUGAAGAAACUUGAGUGUUCAAAGCAAGCUUUUAAAAUUCCGCUUGAAAAAUUCAGCAUGGGAUAAUGAAAUAAGCUAAAAAACGUAACCAUUUUUCGCCGAUUUUCGGUUUUAGAAAGCGUUUAAGAAUGAUUGAUAGGGGCGGUCGAGGGCACUCGUACCCAGAGGUCAGAGGUGAAAUUCUUGGAUUCUCGGGAGACGAACUUAUGCGAAGGCGUUUGCCAAGGACGCUUUCUUUGAUCAAGAACGAAAGUUAGGGGAUCGAAGACGAUCAGAUACCGUCGUAGUCUUAACCUUAAACGAUGCCGACUGUAGAUUAGAAGACGUUAAUACAUUUUUUCUAGUAAUAGAAAAAAAAACUGACUCCUCUAGCAUACUGUGAGAAAAUCACAAGUGUUUGGGUUCCGGGGGGAGUAUGGUCGCAAGGCUGAAACUUAAAGGAAUUGACGGAAGGG
rnacentral:rRNA from 1 species